UACGACUACAUAUCAGGCAUAUCAAUAAGCGGAGGAAAAGAAACUAACAAGGAUUCCCCUAGUAACGGCGAGUGAAGCGGGAAGAGCUCAAAUUUGAAAUCUUAAAGGGUUUCCCUUUACGAAUUGUAGUUUAAAGAAGUGUUUUCUGUUGGAGUUUCGGUAAAAGUUCUUUGGAAUAGGACAUCAUAGAGGGUGAGAAUCCCGUAUUUGACCGUUACUUUCCAGCUGUGUGAUACACUUUCAAAGAGUCGGAUUGUUUGGGAAUGCAGUCCAAGAUGGGUGGUAAAUUUCAUCUAAAGCUAAAUAUUGGCGAGAGACCGAUAGCGAACAAGUACCGUGAGGGAAAGAUGAAAAGAACUUUGAAAAGAGAGUUAAACAGUACGUGAAAUUGUCAAAAGGGAAGCGUUUGACACCAGUGUUGUUUUCUCGAAAAUCAAUUAAAAAAGGCGUGGAUUUUGUGUUGUAUUGACUUUAUCAGCUUUCUGCACUCUUUUCUUGUCUUUUUUAAUGCACUUUUCGUUUAACAAGUCAACAUCAAUUUCUUUUGUUGUAAAAGAGGUCAUUGGAAGGUGGCUUUCUUUUCGGAGAAAGUGUUUAUAGCCUUUGGCCUCUGCAAUCGGAGAGAUUGAGGUCUGCAGCGUAGAUCCUUCGGGGUUAGAUACAUUUGUGCUAAGUUAUAGCCUUUCAUAGACAACUUGUUGACUAUGAUCAGUCAUGUAGCUUACUCGCUUAUGCUAUUUUACCUACGCUUAGGAUGUUGAGCGCAUGUCUCUCUCU
rnacentral:rRNA from 1 species